GACGAACGCUGGCGGCGUGCUUAACACAUGCAAGUCGAGCGGUAAGGCUCCUUCGGGAGUACACGAGCGGCGAACGGGUGAGUAACACGUGAGCAAUCUGCCCUUCACUCUGGGAUAACCCCCGGAAACGGGAGCUAAUACCGGAUACGACCACUUCAGGCAUCUGAUGGUGGUGGAAAGUUCCGGCAGUGAAGGAUGAGCUCGCGGCCUAUCAGCUUGUUGGUGAGGUAAUGGCUCACCAAGGCUUCGACGGGUGGCCGGCCUGAGAGGGUGACCGGCCACACUGGGACUGAGACACGGCCCAGACUCCUACGGGAGGCAGCAGUGGGGAAUAUUGGACAAUGGGCGAGAGCCUGAUCCAGCAACGCCGCGUGAGGGAUGACGGCCUUCGGGUUGUAAACCUCUUUCAGCAGGGACGAAGCGAAAGUGACGGUACCUGCAGAAGAAGGACCGGCCAACUACGUGCCAGCCGCCGCGGUAAUAC
rnacentral:rRNA from 1 species